rnacentral:rRNA from 1 species
AACUAACGCUGGCGGCGUGCCUAACACAUGCAAGUCGUACGAGAAAGUUGGCUUCGGCUGAUGAGUAAAGUGGCGCACGGGUGAGUAACGCGUGGAUAAUCUGCCUUUUAGUUGGGAAUAACGUACCGAAAGGUGCGCUAAUACCGGAUAAUACUGCAUAACUACUGUUGUGUAGUCAAAGAAGGCCUCUGUUUACAAGCUUUUGCUGAAAGAUGAGUCCGCGUACCAUUAGCUAGUUGGUAGGGUAAUGGCCUACCAAGGCUACGAUGGUUAGCUGGUCUGAGAGGAUGAUCAGCCACACUGGAACUGAGACACGGUCCAGACUCCUACGGGAGGCAGCAGUGAGGAAUAUUGCGCAAUGGGGGCAACCCUGACGCAGCAACGCCGCGUGAGUGAGGAAGGUUUUCGGACCGUAAAGCUCUGUCGAACGGGAAGAAAUGUAUCGUGGCUAAUAUCCAUGAUAUUUGACGGUACCGCUAAAGGAAGCACCGGCUAACUCCG